AUGGCAUCCUGGGCUGAGCCCUAGGAGCCUGCUACUCAGCCUCCUGCUGGGGUAAGACCACUGGAGGACUUUCAGGUGUUGGAUGGGGUUGAAGAUGCUUAUGGGGAGGAAGAAAAGGAUGAAGAGGACAGUGAUCUGAGCAGGCUGCCACCACUGGAGGACAUAGGACAGCUGACACUGGAGGAGGCUGAGAAGCCAGGAGUUCUGGCUCCGGAGUUCCUGGCAACCACAGAGCCUGAGCCAGCCCCAGCAGACUGGACAUCCUUGGGAAUGGACUCCUGAGGAAGAAGACACUAGUCUGGGGCCACAGGGCUCCGCUGCCCACUCAAAGACCAGGUGGUGACUGUGCACCUGCAGAUGUCCCUGGUAAGUGUGCAGGAGGAGCCAGAGCUGUCCUUCAUGCUGGGAGACUGCGAUGUUAUCCAGGCCUUGGACCUCAGCGUUCUGCUCAUGGAUGUGGGUGAGGUGGCCGUGGUGACUGCUGUCUUUAAGUAUUGCUAUGGCCCCCAGGGCAUCAGGAGCCCAUGUGUCACCCCCCCACACCCCUCCGCCCCACCUCCGCAUGCAGCCCUGUGCCUGGGGGUCACCCUGAAGACGGCUGAGGAUGGCCCUGACCUGGAGCUGCUGAGCAGCCAGGAGCGUGUGGCCCUGGCCAACUGGAAGAGGAAGUUGCCAACGCCCACUACCAGCAGGCUGACUUUGUGCUGGCUGCCAACUCCUAUGACCUGGCCAUCAAGGCCAUCACCUUCAGCACCAAAGUGGACACGUCCUUUGAGGAGGAGGAGUAGCUGAUGCAGUUCAAGGUGAAGCGUUUGAACAACCUGUGGGCAUCACAGCUGAAGCUGGACCACCACCGCAUGGCGCUGGGCUCCUGCAGCCUGGUGUUGGAGCAACAGCGAGACACAUCAAGGCUCCGCAAGGGCAAGGUGCUGGCUCAGCAGGGUGAGCACAGUGAGGCCAUCCCCAUCCUGAGGGCCGCCCUGAAGCUGGAGCCUUCCAACAAGGCAAUCCACUCGGAACUCUCGAAGCUGGUGAAGAAGCAUGCUGCAAAACGAUCUCAGAGACUGCAGUAUACCAGAAGACGCUGGACAACCAGUGCCGGCUGCCUGCUAAGUAUCCUGGAAAAGGGACCCGGUCCAUCCUGUGGAAGUGGCUGUUUGAGGCAACUGCCUUGGCCAUGGAGGGCGUGGCUCUCUCUGUGGUCGUUGCUAUCAGAAACUGA